rnacentral:rRNA from 1 species
CAUGCAAGUCGAGCGGAAACGACACUAACAAUCCUUCGGGUGCGUUAAUGGGCGUCGAGCGGCGGACGGGUGAGUAAUGCCUAGGAAAUUGCCUUGAUGUGGGGGAUAACCAUUGGAAACGAUGGCUAAUACCGCAUAAUGCCUACGGGCCAAAGAGGGGGACCUUCGGGCCUCUCGCGUCAAGAUAUGCCUAGGUGGGAUUAGCUAGUUGGUGAGGUAAUGGCUCACCAAGGCGACGAUCCCUAGCUGGUCUGAGAGGAUGAUCAGCCACACUGGAACUGAGACACGGUCCAGACUCCUACGGGAGGCAGCAGUGGGGAAUAUUGCACAAUGGGCGAAAGCCUGAUGCAGCCAUGCCGCGUGUAUGAAGAAGGCCUUCGGGUUGUAAAGUACUUUCAGUUGUGAGGAAGGGUGUGUAGUUAAUAGCUGCRCAUCUUGACGU